UGUGCAUUUAGGUGCUUGAUCUCAUGCACUUCUUCCUGACACUGACACUAAUCACAAGAAUCUCUUCUCCAGCAGCACAGCUCAUCUGUUUUAGUCGGAAACGUGUUUGGACGUGAUGGAGCCUGCAAAGGAGAACUAAAGGAAAUAACCGGAUUAAGAGUGAAGCAGACGUUUGACUUUCUGAGAGAAUGUCGGGGGAGUGUGAAGAAAUCACAACCACUGAAAUGAGUCUUCCUGAGGGGAAAUGCAAGAAUCAAAGUGCAACAGAGAAAAGGCCAAAUUCUCCUGAAGUCAGCUGUGUGUCCUUGAAGAGUGAUCGGUCAAUGCCGGAGUUUAUGGACUUUAAAGGUGGACCAUCCUCUCAGGAAAGUGCAACAGAGAAAAGGCCAAAUUCUCCUGAAGUCAGCUGUGUGUCCUUGAAGAGUGAUCGGUCAAUG